GAGUUUGAUCCUGGCUCAGGGUGAACGCUGGCGGCGUGCCCAACACAUGCAAGUCGAGCGCCCAGCACUUUUUAUUGGAUUUUUUUGAUCAAAUAAAGGGUGCUGGGAGCGGCGAACGGGUGAGUAACGCGUUGGAACCUGCCCCGAAGUGAGGGAUAAGCACCAGAAAUGGUGUCUAAUACCUCAUGUGAUCUACGGAUUAAAGAUUUAUCGCUUCGGGAGGGUCCUACGCGCUGAUUAGCUUGUUGGUAAGGUAAUGGCUUACCAAGGCGACGAUCAGUAGCUGGUCUGAGAGGAUGAUCAGCCACACUGGGACUGAGAUACGGCCCAGACUCCUACGGGAGGCAGCAGUCGGGAAUUUUGCACAAUGGACGAAAGUCUGAUGCAGCGACGCCGCGUGCAGGAUGACGGCCUUAGGGUUUUAAACUGCUUUUAUGUGGGAAGAUUAUGACGGUACCACAUGAAUAAGGAUUGCCUAACUCCGUGCCAGCAAUCGCGGUCAUACGAAGGAUC
rnacentral:rRNA from 1 species